rnacentral:rRNA from 1 species
CAGCAGCCGCGGUAAUACAGAGACUGCAAGCGUUAUUCGGAUUCACUGGGCGUAAAGGGUGCGCAGGCGGCCAUGUGUGUCAGGUGUGAAAGCCCGAGGCUCAACCUCGGAAUUGCGCCUGAAACUACAUGGCUAGAGUACUGGAGAGGGUAGCGGAAUUCAUGGUGUAGCAGUGAAAUGCGUAGAUAUCAUGAGGAACACCAGAGGCGAAGGCGGCUACCUGGACAGUUACUGACGCUCAGGCACGAAAGCGUGGGGAGCAAAAGGGAUUAGAUACCCCUGUAGUCCACGCCCUAAACGGUGCACACUAGGUCUUGGCGGAUUCGACCCCCCCAGGGCCCAAGCUAACGCGUUAAGUGUGCCGCCUGAGGACUACGGCCGCAAGGCUAAAACUCAAAGGAAUUGACGG